GUGCACCUGCCACAAGAAGUCCUUGGCGAAAACAGCAUGCAGAAGGAGUCUCAAGGCCUUGAAGCUGAACUAUUUGGACCUCUACCUCAUACACUGGCCCAUGGGUUUCAAGCCUCCUCAUCCAGAAUGGAUCAUGAGCUGCAGUGAACUUUCCUUCUGCCUCUCACAUCCUGGAGUGUAGGACUUGCCUCUGGACGAGAGCAACAUGGUCAUUCCCGGUGACACGGACUUCCUGGACACGUGGGAGGCCAUGGAGGACCUGGUGAUCAUCGGGCUGGUGAAGAACAUCGGGGUGUCAAACUUCAACCAUGAACAGCUUGAGAGGCUUUUGAAUAAGCCUGGGUUGAGGUUCAAGCCACUAACCAACCAGAUUGUGAUCCGAUUUCAAAUCCAGAGGAACGUGAUAGUGAUCCCUGGAUCUAUCACCCCAAGUCACAUUAAAGAGAAUAUCCAGGUCUGCUACACACUGAGGGGAAAUGCCAUCCUCA
rnacentral:sRNA from 1 species